CCCUUAGAUGUUCUGGGCCGCACACGCGCUACACUGAAGGAGGCAGCGUGUACUCCUGGAUCGAAAGAUUUGGGUAACCCGCGAAUCUCCUUCGUGCUAGGGAUUGAGGUUUGCAAUUAUCCUUCAUGAACGAGGAAUUCCCAGUAAGUGCAAGUCAUAAGCUUGCGCUGACUACGUCCCUGCCCUUUGUACACACCGCCCGUCGCUACUACCGAUUGAAUGAUUUAGUGAGGACUUCGGACUGGGACCGAUGCGGCUUUCGGGCUGCGUCGGUAUUCUGGAAAGAUGUCCAAACUGUAUCAUUUGGAGGAAGUAAAANUCGUAACA
rnacentral:rRNA from 1 species